GAUGAACGCUGGCGGCGUGCCUAAUACAUGCAAGUAGAACGCUGAAGGAAGGAGCUUGCUCUUUCCGGAUGAGUUGCGAACGGGUGAGUAACGCGUAGGUAACCUGCCUGGUAGCGGGGGAUAACUAUUGGAAACGAUAGCUAAUACCGCAUAACAGUAGAUGUUGCAUGAUAUCUACUUAAAAGGUGCAAUUGCACCACUACCAGAUGGACCUGCGUUGUAUUAGCUAGUUGGUGAGGUAACGGCUCACCAAGGCGUCGAUACAUAGCCGACCUGAGAGGGUGCUCGGCCACGCUGGGACGGGGACACGGCCCAGAAUCCUACGGGAGGCAGCAGUAGGGGAUCUUCAGGAAUGGCAGGAAGUCUGACCGAUCAACGCCGGGCGAGUGACGAAGGCUGUCGGAUCGUAAAGCUCAGUUGUAAGAGAAGAUCGAGUGUGAGUGUUGAAAGUUCACACUAUGACAGUAUCUGAACAGUAAGGGACGGCUAACUACGUG
rnacentral:rRNA from 1 species